rnacentral:rRNA from 1 species
GACGAACGCUGGCGGCGUGCUUAACACAUGCAAGUCGAACGGAAAGGCCCUGCUUUUGUGGGGUGCUCGAGUGGCGAACGGGUGAGUAACACGUGAGUAACCUGCCCUUGACUUUGGGAUAACUUCAGGAAACUGGGGCUAAUACCGGAUAGGAGCUCCUGCUGCAUGGUGGGGGUUGGAAAGUUUCGGAGGUUGGGGAUGGACUCGCGGCUUAUCAGCUUGUUGGUGGGGUAGUGGCUUACCAAGGCUUUGAGGGGUAGCCGGCCUGAGAGGGUGACCGGCCACAUUGGGACUGAGAUACGGCCCAGACUCCUACGGGAGGCAGAAGUGGGGAAUAUUGCACAAUGGGCGGAAGCCUGAUGCAGCAACGCCGCGUGCGGGAUGACGGCCUUCGGGUUGUAAACCGCUUUCGCCUGUGACGAAGCGUGAGUGACGGUAAUGGGUAAAGAAGCACCGGCUAACUACGUG